rnacentral:rRNA from 1 species
UACGAAGGGUGCAAGCGUUACUCGGAAUUACUGGGCGUAAAGGGUGCGUAGGCGGUUGUUUAAGUCUGUCGUGAAAUCCCCGGGCUCAACCUGGGAAUGGCGAUGGAAACUGGGCAGCUAGAGUGUGUCAGAGGAUGGCGGAAUUCCCGGUGUAGCGGUGAAAUGCGUAGAGAUCGGGAGGAACAUCAGUGGCGAAGGCGGCCAUCUGGGACAACACUGACGCUGAAGCACGAAAGCGUGGGGAGCAAACAGG